rnacentral:rRNA from 1 species
GAUGAACGCUGGCGGCGUGCCUAAUACAUGCAAGUCGAGCGAACAGAUGAGAAGCUUGCUUCUCUGAUGUUAGCGGCGGACGGGUGAGUAACACGUGGGUAACCUACCUAUAAGACUGGGAUAACUCCGGGAAACCGGGGCUAAUACCGGAUAAUAUUUUGAACCGCAUGGUUCAAUAGUGAAAGACGGUUUCGGCUGUCACUUAUAGAUGGACCCGCGCCGUAUUAGCUAGUUGGUAAGGUAACGGCUUACCAAGACGAUGAUGCGUAGCCGACCUGAGAGGGUGACCGGCCACACCGGGACUGAGACACGGCCCAGACUCCUACGGGAGGCAGCAGUAGGGAAUUUUCGGCAAUGGGCGCAAGCCUGACCGAGCAACGCCGCGUGAGUGAUUAAGGCCUUCGGGUUGUAAAGCUCUGUUGUAAGGGAAGAACAUUCAGGAUAGGAAAUGAUCUUGAACUGACGGUACCUUACCAGAAAGCCACGGCUAACUACGUGCCAGCAGCCGCCGUAA